rnacentral:tRNA from 1 species
GCCGAUGUAGCUCAAUGGCAGAGCACAGCUUUCGUAAAGCUGAGGUUGAGGGUCCGACUCCCUCCAUCGGCU